rnacentral:rRNA from 1 species
UACAGAGGGGGCAAGCGUUGUUCGGAAUUACUGGGCGUAAAGGGCGCGUAGGCGGCCUGCUAAGUCGAACGUGAAAUCCCCGAGCUCAACUCGGGAACUGCGUCCGAUACUGGCAGGCUUGAAUCCGGGAGAGGGAUGCGGAAUUCCUGGUGUAGCGGUGAAAUGCGCAGAUAUCAGGAGGAACACCAAUGGCGAAGGCAGCUCGCUGGGACGGUACUGACGCUGAGACGCGAAAGCGUGGGGAGCAAACAGG